CAGUCGCCGCGGUAAAACGUAGGUGGCGAGCGUUGUCCGGAAUCAUUGGGCGUAAAGGGAGCGCAGGCGGGCAUGUAAGUCUUUCUUAAAAGUGCGGGGCUCAACCCCGUGAUGGGAAAGAAACUACAUGUCUUGAGUACAGGAGAGGAAAGCGGAAUUCCCAGUGUAGCGGUGAAAUGCGUAGAUAUUGGGAGGAACACCAGUGGCGAAGGCGGCUUUCUGGACUGCAACUGACGCUGAGGCUCGAAAGCCAGGGGAGCGAACGGGAUUAGAUACCCCCGUAGUCCCUGUCUCUUAUACA
rnacentral:rRNA from 1 species